rnacentral:rRNA from 1 species
AACAAACGCUGGCGGCGUGCCUAAUACAUGCAAGUCGAACGGGGUAGCAAUACCUAGUGGCGCAUGGGGGAGGAACGCGUGGAUAAUCUGCCUUAGAGUGGGGGAUCACUAGUCGACAGGUUAGCUCAUACCGCAUAAGACCACAGGAGGUGCGGUCCUAGGGGUCAAAGGUUUUGCGCUCUAAGAUGAGUCCGCGUGAGAUUAGCUAGUUGGUGAGGUAACGGCUCACCAAGGAGACGAUCUUUAAGUGGUCUGAGAGGAUGAUCAGUCACAAUGGAACUGAGAAACGGUCCAGACUCCUACGGGAGGCAGCAGUAGGGAAUAUUGCACAAUGGAGGAAACUCUGAUGAAGCGACGCCGCGUGAGUGAUGAAGGCCUUCGGGUCGUAAAGCUCUGUCGCAGGGGAAUAACACAAUGAAUGUACCCUGUAAGAAAGGAUCGGCUAACUUCGUGCCAGCAGCCGCGGUAAAAC